AUAUCAGUAAGCGGAGGAAAAGAAACUAACAAGGAUUCCCUUAGUAACGGCGAGUGAAGCGGGAAUAGCUCAAUUUUGAAAUCUCCCUACAGGGCGAAUUGUAGUUUAGAGAAGCGUUUCGGGGACGGCCUGGGCACAAGUUCCUUGGAAUGGGACAUCAGAGAGGGUGAGAAUCCCGUACCUGGCCCGGUGUCCGUUCCUAUGUGAUACGUCUUCAAAGAGUCGGAUAGCUUGGGAAUGCUGUCCAAAAUGGGUGGUAAAGUACCAUCUAAAGCUAAAUAUUGGCGAGAGACCGAUAGCGCACAAGUA
rnacentral:rRNA from 1 species